UGCAUGUCUAAGUACAUGCCGUAUUAAGGCGAAACCGCGAAUGGCUCAUUAAAUCAGUUAUGGUUCCUUGGAUCGUACCUUACUACUUGGAUAACUGUGGCAAUUCUAGAGCUAAUACAUGCAGCAGGGCUCCGACCUCCGGGGAAGAGCGCUUUUAUUAGACCAAAACCAAUCGGACCUCGUGUCCGUAUCUUGUGGUGACUCUGUAUAACUUUGGGCUGAUCGCACGGGCCUGUCCCGGCGACGUAUCUUUCAAGUGUCUGCCUUAUCAACUUUCGAUGGUAGGUUACGCGCCUACCAUGGUCGUAACGGGUAACGGGGAAUCAGGGUUCGAUUCCGGAGAGGGAGCCUGAGAAACGGCUACCACAUCCAAGGAAGGCAGCAGGCGCGCAAAUUACCCACUCCCAGAACGGGGAGGUAGUGACGAAAAAUAACAAUACGGGACUCUUUUGAGACCCCGUAAUUGGAAUGAGUACACUCUAAAUCCUUUAACGAGGAUCCAUUGGAGGGCAAGUCUAGUGCCAGCAGCCGCGGUAAUUCUAGCUCCAAUAGCGUAUAUUAAAGUUGUUGCGGUUAAAAAGCUCGUAGUUGGAUCUCAGUUCCAGACGGGUGGUCCGCCUACCGGCGGGUACUGCCUGAUCUGAACAGCCAGCCGGUUUCUCUUGAUGAUCUUCACCGGUUGUCUUGGGUGACCGGCAAGUUUACUUUGAAAAAAUUAGAGUGCUCAAAGCAGGCGUGACGCCUGAAUAAUGGUGCAUGGAAUAAUGGAAUAGGACCUCGGUUCUAUUUUGUUGGUUUUCGGAACACGAGGUAAUGAUUAAGAGGGACAGACGGGGGCAUUCGUAUUGCGACGCUAGAGGUGAAA
rnacentral:rRNA from 1 species